CACAAAUAUGUGAGCUGUAAUAAAUACUAGUCAAUAUAAAUAUAAAUAUAUAUAUAAACACAUAUCCAACUUUAUUUUUCUCUAAGCAGUUCUGUUAUUUUCAUUCUAUAUUUCUCUAGCUACUUCCACGAAAGAGAUCAAUUCACAUGGCAUGCAUAUGUCCACGACGUGGAACUUAUCCAUUUGACUCGUGAUGUCUUUCAAUGGCUCAAGAAAUCUUUAUCAGAAUUGGGGUCAGAGAGAGAGAGAGAGAAUUAAAGAGAAAAGAAGAGUGGCAGACUUUUUCUGGGUCUCUUUCAAACCCCAAAAAGGUCGCUAGGUUUGCACUUUGCUCUUACUUUUUUGAGUCAAAUUUCAGUCUCUCUUUAAUAAUUGAAGGUCUACCACCCUUCUUUAAUUGUAUGUACAGAACAGAAGAGAGACCCAUGGGGUUUCUUGAGCUCGUAUGCCACUUUUAUUAAUUAAUUAAUCUAAGUGCA